GAAAUGCGAUAACUAAUGUGAAUUGCAGAAUUCAGUGAAUCAUCGAGUCUUUGAACGCACAUUGCGCCCCAUGGUAUUCCGUGGGGCAUGCCUGUUUGAGCGUCAGCAAAACCCAUCAAGUACAGUAUGUACUUGGAUUAUAUCAGAGAAGCACGUUGUAUUGCUCAACUUGCCCUCUGAAAAGUUAUGAAUGGUCAACUUGGUUUUUCCUUACCAGCGUGAUAAUAAACAUUGAUGUUUUCUAUUCGUUUGAGCGAAAAAUAAAGCUGACUUUUCUAAGAACCUACGGCUUAAUAGCCUAAUGAAUUGACCUCAAAUCAGGUAGGAAUACCCGCUGAACUUAA
rnacentral:misc_RNA from 1 species